UCCUGCCAACAUUCUAAAAUGGUUCCUCAGUUUCCUUUCCACAAAAUCAAGAAUUUUAAAUACUCCUACUUAGCACUUGAUCUGAGAUACAACGCCAGGGCAUGAAUCACCAAGGCAGAAGGAGAUCCCAGGAAUCUUUGAAGUACCUCUGACAAGAGAAAUGAUUGCCAUCUGAUAGCAAUCUUGACUGUUGCCCAAUUCUGAGUCAUGGUUCUAUCCUGCUCCAAAACAGGAGCAACUAAGCUCAUUGUUAGUGCUUCUUGAAUAAGGAGUUAUUUCCUAAAACAUAUCUGUAUGAUUCUGAGCAUAGUCUAGUCUUUAGAAUUUGUCUUCAGUGAGAUAUCCAGGAUAGGAAUCCCAUACCAAUAGGAUUAAGCUGUUGUGGAAAGGAAAACUGAAACUGAGGAACCACCGUUUAGAAUGCUUCUAGGAUAGGAGUGGCAGUUGGAGCAGCAGAUGGGGUUUGUGGGAAUGAGAGUAGAGAAAGUGGUCUUUGCCCUGUGAACUUGUGAGAGACAAGAGCUAGGAUCAAAGCUGAAGAGCCCAAACUGUGAUGACAGAGCCUUGCUUCUAUUUGCCUUACCCUGAAGACAGAAGAUUCCUGACAUCUUUAGAUGAUCAAUAAAAGAAAGCAAAGAACA